UGCCUACGGGGGGCAGCAGUAGGGAAUCUUCCACAAUGGACGAAAGUCUGAUGGAGCAACGCCGCGUGAGUGAAGAAGGGUUUCGGCUCGUAAAGCUCUGGUGGGAGGGAAGAAAGAUAGAGGUAGGAAAUGGCCUUUAUUUGACGGUAAUUACUUAGAAAGUCACGGCUAAAUAAGUGCCAGCAGCCGCGGUAAUACGUAGGGGGGAAGCGUUGUCCGGAUUUAUUGGGCGUAAAACGAGUGCAGGCGGGUCAAUA
rnacentral:rRNA from 1 species